AGAGCUUGCUCUUUAUGAAAUCCAGUGGCAAACGGGUGAGUAACACGUAAACAACCUGCCUUCAGGAUGGGGACAACAGACGGAAACGACUGCUAAUACCGAAUACGAUUCUUGAGUCGCAUGACACAAGAAAGAAAGGGUGGCCUCUACUUGUAAGCUAUCGCCUGAAGAGGGGUUUGCGUCCGAUUAGGUAGUUGGUGAGGUAACGGCCCACCAAGCCGACGAUCGGUAGCCGGUCUGAGAGGAUGAACGGCCACAUUGGAACUGAGACACGGUCCAGACUCCUACGGGAGGCAGCAGUGGGGAAUCUUCCGCAAUGGGCGAAAGCCUGACGGAGCAACGCCGCGUGAGUGAAGACGGCCUUCGGGUUGUAAAACUCUGUGAUUCGGGACGAAAGAUAAGUAGACGAAUAAUCUGCAUAAGUGACGGUACCGAAAAAGCAAGCCACGGCUAACUACGUGCCAGCAGCCGCGGUAAUACGUAGGUGGCAAGCGUUGUCCGGAAUUAUUGGGCGUAAAGCGCGCGCAGGCGGCUACUUAAGUCCAUCUUAAAAGUGCGGGGCUUAACCCCGUGAUGGGAUGGAAACUGAGAAGCUGGAGUGUCGGAGAGGAAAGUGGAAUUCCUAGUGUAGCGGUGAAAUGCGUAGAGAUUAGGAAGAACACCGGUG
rnacentral:rRNA from 1 species